rnacentral:rRNA from 1 species
AAUCUUGUACAAUGGUGGAAACCCUGAUCCAGCCAUCCCGCGUGUAUGAUGCUGGCCUCCGGGUUGUAUAGUCCUCUUGGCAGAGAAGAGAAGGUAUCUCCUAAUACGAGAUACUGCUGACGGUAUCUGCAUAAUAAGCAUCGGCUCUCCACGUCCCAGCAGCCGCGGUAAUACGUAGGGUGCAAGCGUUAAUCGGAAUUACUGGGCGUAAAGCGUGUGUAGGCGGUUAGGAAAGAAAGAAGUGGAAUCCCAAGGCUCAAACUUGGAACUGCAUUUCUAACUACCGAGCUAGAGUAUGUCAGAGGGGGGUAGAAUUCCACGUGUAGCAGUGAAAUGCGUAGAUAUGUGGAGGAAUACCGAUGGCGAAGGCAGCCCCCAGGGAUAAUACUGACGCUCAGACACGAAAGCGUGGGGAGCAAA